rnacentral:misc_RNA from 1 species
GGUAUAGUCUUGCAUCCUUUUUUUUUUUGUGGUGGGGCGCGGCGGUGGUUGUUUGCAUGGAGAUAGAGAGAUCUUUAAAACCAUGACAAGAACUACUUAUUUAUGCAUGGAAACUAUGGUGCUUUUCAUCUCCAUUAUGCCAAUUGCAGACAAACAUUUGAUUUUCUUUUUUUCAAUGUUGGCUGCAGCUUGGAGCUGAAAUACGG